AGGGAAAGCUGGUGGCAGGCCUAACACAUGCAAGUCGAACGGUAACAGGAAGAAGCUUGCUUCUUUGCUGACGAGUGGCGGACGGGUGAGUAAUGUCUGGGAAACUGCCUGAUGGAGGGGGAUAACUACUGGAAACGGUAGCUAAUACCGCAUAACGUCGCAAGACCAAAGAGGGGGACCUUCGGGCCUCUUGCCAUCGGAUGUGCCCAGAUGGGAUUAGCUAGUAGGUGGGGUAACGGCUCACCUAGGCGACGAUCCCUAGCUGGUCUGAGAGGAUGACCAGCCACACUGGAACUGAGACACGGUCCAGACUCCUACGGGAGGCAGCAGUGGGGAAUAUUGCACAAUGGGCGCAAGCCUGAUGCAGCCAUGCCGCGUGUAUGAAGAAGGCCUUCGGGUUGUAAAGUACUUUCAGCGGGGAGGAAGGGAGUAAAGUUAAUACCUUUACUCAUUGACGUUACCCGCAGAAGAAGCACCGGCUAACUCCGUG
rnacentral:rRNA from 1 species